AAAGAAACCAACAGGGAUUGCCUCAGUAACGGCGAGUGAAGCGGCAACAGCUCAAAUUUGAAAUCUGGCUCCUUUGGGGUCCGAGUUGUAAUUUGGAGAAGAUGCUUCGGGUACGGUCCCGGUCUAAGUUCCUUGGAACAGGACGUCACAGAGGGUGAGAAUCCCGUACGUGGUCGGUGGCCGUGCCCGUGUGAAGCUCUUUCGACGAGUCGAGUUGUUUGGGAAUGCAGCUCAAAAUGGGUGGUAAAUUUCAUCUAAAGCUAAAUAUUGGCCAGAGACCGAUAGCGCACAAGUAGAGUGAUCGAAAGAUGAAAAGCACUUUGGAAAGAGAGUUAAACAGUACGUGAAAUUGUUGAAAGGGAAGCGCUUGCAACCAGACUUGCGCGCGGUCGAUCAUCCUGGGUUCGCCCGGGUGCACUCGGCCGCGCUCAGGCCAGCAUCGGUUCGGGUGGUUGGAUAAAGGCCUCGGGAACGUGGCUCCCCUCGGGGAGUGUUAUAGCCCGAGGUGCAAUGCAGCCUACCUGGACCGAGGACCGCGCUUCGGCUAGGAUGCUGGCGU
rnacentral:rRNA from 1 species